rnacentral:rRNA from 1 species
UGAGUGCGAGCUGCUACGGCAGCGAAGUUGGUGAUGUCAUGCUUCCAAGAAAAGCCCUAUACCCGUUAAGGCAUCAUGGCCUGUACCCGAAACCGACACAGGUGGGGUGGUAGAGAAUACCGAGGGGCGCGAGGUAACUCUCUCUAAGGAACUCGGCAAAAUGGCCCCGUAACUUCGGGAGAAGGGGUGCCACCGCAAGGUGGUCGCAGUGAAGAGGCCCAGGCGACUGUUUACCAAAAACACAGGUCUCCGCUAAGUCGCAAGACGAUGUAUGGGGGCUGACGCCUGCCCAGUGCCGGAAGGUUAAGGAAGCUGGUCAGCGCAAGCGAAGCUAGCGACUGAAGCCCCGGUGAACGGCGGCCGUAACGAUAACGGUCCUAAGGUAGCGAAAUUCCUUGUCGGGUAAGUUCCGACCCGCACGAAAGGCGUAACGAUCUGGGCGCUGUCUCGGAGAGAGGCUCGGCGAAAUAGAAUUGUCUGUGAAGAUGCGGACUACGUGCACCCGGACAGAAAGACCCUAUGAAGCUUUACUAUAGCUUGGUAUUGUGCCCGGGCUCGCAAUGCGCAGGAUAGGUGGGAGGCUUUGAUCAUCGGCUUGCGGGUCGAUGUGAGCCAACGGUGAGAUACCACUCUUUGCGAGCUAGGGUUCUAACGGCCACCCGUCAUCCGGGGGCCGGACAGUACCUGGUGGGCAGUUUGACUGGGGCGGUCGCCUCCUAAAAGGUAACGGAGGCGCGCAAAGGUUUGCUCAGGCUGGUUGGAAAUCAGCCGACGAGUGUAAAAGCAGAAGCAAGCUUGACUGUGAGACCAACAAGUCGAACAGGGAGGAAACUCGGCUUUAGUGAUCCGACGGUUCUGAGUGGAAGGGCCGUCGCUCAACGGAUAAAAGUUACUCUAAGGAUAACAGGCUGAUCUCCCCCAAGAGUUCACAUCGACGGGGAGGUUUGGCACCUCGAUGUCGGCUCAUCGCAACCUGGGGCUGAAGUCGGUCCCAAGGGUUGGGCUGUUCGCCCAUUAAAGCGGUACGCGAGCUGGGUUCAGAACGUCGUGAGACAGUUCGGUCCAUAUCCGGUGCACGCGCAGGAAUAUUGAGAGGAUUUCUCCCUAGUACGAGAGGACCGGGAGGAACGCACCUCUGGUGUACCAGUUAUCGUGCCAACGGUAAACGCUGGGUAGCCAUGUGCGGAGUGGAUAACCGCUGAAAGCAUCUAAGUGGGAAGCCCACCUCAAGAUGAGUAUUCCCAUGGCGUAAGCCAGUAAGGUCACGGGAAGAACACCCGUUGAUAGGCUCUAUGUGGAAGCGCAGUAAUGCGUGAAGCAGAGGAGUACUAAUAGACCGAGGGCUUGAC